UGCCAGCCGCCGCGGUAAUACGAAGGGUGCUAGCGUUGUUCGGAAUUAUUGGGCGUAAAGAGCAUGUAGGCGGACUGUUAAGUCUGAUGUGAAAUCCCGGGGCUCAACCCCGGAAGUGCAUUUGAAACCCCGGAACUUGAGUAUGGGAGAGGGAAGUGGAAUUCCAGGUGUAGAGGUGAAAUUCGUAGAUAUCUGGAGGAACACCGGUGGCGAAGGCGACUUCCUGGACCAAUACUGACGCUGAGAUGCGAAAGCGUGGGGAGCGAACAGGAUUAGAUA
rnacentral:rRNA from 1 species